ACUCAAAUGAAUUGACGGGGACCCACACAAGCAGUGGAUCAUGCGGUUUAAUUCGAUACUAAACGGGAAAUCUUACCUAGGCUUGACAUCUAGAGAAUCUUGCAGAAAUGUGAGAGUGCCCGUAAGGGAACUCUAAGACAGGCGCUGCAUGGUUGUCGUCAGCUCGUGCCUUGAGGUGUUCGGUUAAGUCCGUUAACGAGCGCAACCCAUAUUGUUAGUUAUUAUGUCUAACAAGACUGCCCGAGUUAAUCGGGAGGAAGGUGUGGAUGACGUCAAAUCAGCAUGGCCCUUAUGCCUAGGGCCACACGCAUGAUACAAUGGUCGGUACAAAGAGUAACGAAGUGGUAACACGGAGUCAAUCUCAAAAGCCGAUCUCAGUCCGGAUUGAGGUCUGAAACUCGACCUCAUGAAGUUGGAAUUGCUAGUAAUCGUGAAUCAGACAUGUCACGGUGAAUAUGUUCCUGGGUCUUGUACACACCGCCCGU
rnacentral:rRNA from 1 species